AUCAGCCACCCAACUCACCUCUACCAAAACUAGAAACCAAAGCUAGCACAUCCAAGAAGAAAUCUUGGUAUGCAGUUGAACCACUUGGUGACCCCUGGAUAAUUGCCAAUAACUGUUAAAUGGAAAACUACUCAUUCCGGAUCACAACCCUACAAUUGAAGGUUAUGAUUUCAGAGAUGUUUCAAACUGCACAAAUGAGGCCAUUUGAAUCUCUCUUUUCUGUGUUAUGGAAAUGCUUAGCAAGAAUUAGAGAAGCAACAGAAACAAAGAC